AUUGAACGCUGGCGGCAGGCUUAACACAUGCAAGUCGAGCGGGGACUUCGGUCCUAGCGGCGAACGGGUGAGGAAUGCUUGGGAAUCUGCCCAGUAGCGGGGGAUAACGUUUCGAAAGGAACGCUAAUACCGCAUACGCCCUACGGGGGAAAGGGGGGGAUCUUCGGACCUCUCACUAUUGGAUGAGCCCAAGUCGGAUUAGCUAGUUGGUGGGGUAAAGGCCUACCAAGGCGACGAUCCGUAGCUGGUCUGAGAGGAUGAUCAGCCACACUGGAACUGGGACACGGUCCAGACUCCUACGGGAGGCAGCAGUGGGGAAUAUUGGACAAUGGGCGAAAGCCUGAUCCAGCCAUGCCGCGUGUGUGAAGAAGGGCUUCGGGUUGUAAAGCACUUUAAGCGAGGAGGAAUGGCUCUUGGUUAAUAACCUUGAGGAGUGACGUUACUCGCAGAAUAAGCACCGGCUAACUCUGUGCCAGCAGCCGCAGUAAGAC
rnacentral:rRNA from 1 species